UACGGGGGGAGCAAGCGUUGUUCGGAUUUACUGGGCGUAAAGGGCGCGUAGGCGGCCACCGCAAGUCAGUUGUGAAAUCUCUGGGCUUAACCCAGAACGGUCAGCUGAUACUGCGGGGCUAGAGUGCAGAAGGGGCAACUGGAAUUCUCGGUGUAGCGGUGAAAUGCGUAGAUAUCGAGAGGAACACCUGCGGCGAAGGCGGGUUGCUGGGCUGACACUGACGCUGACAGCGCGAAAGCGUGGGGAGCGAACAGG
rnacentral:rRNA from 1 species